AUAUCAAUAAGCGGAGGAAAAGAAACCAACAGGGAUUGCCCCAGUAACGGCGAGUGAAGCGGCAACAGCUCAAAUUUGAAAUCUGGCCCUAGGCCCGAGUUGUAAUUUGUAGAGGAUGUUUCUGACGAGGUACCUUCCGAGUUCCUUGGAACGGGACGCCAUAGAGGGUGAGAGCCCCGUACGGUUGGUCGCCAAGUCUCUGUGAAACUCCUUCGACGAGUCGAGUAGUUUGGGAAUGCUGCUCUAAAUGGGAGGUAUACGUCUUCUAAAGCUAAAUAUAGGCCAGAGACCGAUAGCGCACAAGUAGAGUGAUCGAAAGAUGAAAAGCACUUUGAAAAGAGGGUUAAAUAGUACGUGAAAUUGUUGAAAGGGAAGCGCAUAUGACCAGACUUGGCCAGGUUAAUCAUCCAUCGUUCUCGGUGGUGCACUUUGCCUGGCCAGGCCAGCAUCAGUUCGCUUUGGGGGAUAAAGACUUUGGGAAUGUGGCUCCCUCGGGAGUGUUAUAGCCCAUUGUGUAAUACCCUGGAGUGGACUGAGGUUCGCGCAUCUGCAAGGAUGCUGGCGUAAUGGUCAUCUGCGA
rnacentral:rRNA from 1 species